CGGGUCGGCAAGAGACACGUGUCGAAAUCACGCUUGUCUGUACCCUCCAUAAAUAACCCUCAUCCCACUCAAAUCGAGUAGUCUAUAACUAGGGUUGGUUUUUUGAAAUAAUAAUAAAUUCAGAAAUAGCUAAGUGUAUUUUUAGUCGUGUGUGAAAACCGAUCAGAGAAGGAGAGACGAUUUACUUACCGGCGGUCUCUGAUUCGCUUGGUGCAGGUCGGGAACUGAUUCGGCGAUUUGAUUGCCAGAUGGCUCGACAUGACUGGUUGUUGUGGAAAAAGAAAAGGAAGGAAAUAGGAAAAAAAAAAACAAAGAAUAGCGAAUUGGAUCCCGCCUUGCAUCAACUGAAUCGGAGGCCGCGGUGAAGCAGAAGCCGCCGCCUAAGAAGCUGGAUCUCUAAAGCGUGUUUUUUAUAUUUCAAUCGGAUCUCAGUUUUUGAGAACAUAAUUUUGGCUCAGUUGUGUUACAUUGAUAAUGGUUCUGUGAAAGGUGUAAUUCGGAUAUAAUUGCUAGCUAUCAACUGGUAGGGAAGGAAUGUGAGUGGCGGUGGACUACAAUUUGUGAAGUUUAUCUCUAUGUGACUGAUAUUGGUGAAUACUGGAAUGCCUGCAGCUUCUCACCCUGUUUUCAAAUGCUAGUAUGUAUCUGAACUUUCAGCAUUCAGUGUAACAUGUCAUCUGCCCUUGAGUUUAGUCCUUCUGUUGUGAAGUGAGAAACUUUACAAUUACAUGUCUGAAUUAUUUUUUUAACUUUUUCCGCAUCUCGGAGAACUUCUUGUGCCCCGCUUCGUAAGGGCAUUUUCUGUAGUUGAGAGAGAUUUGCUAUAUUUUAAUUGUAUUCUUAAUUAGUUCCAUGA